rnacentral:sRNA from 1 species
CUGUUCAAGUGUACAAGAAAAAGUAUCAGGAAUCUCAAAGGGGAGUGAUAGGCAUAACACAUGUGUCUCAUUGGUUUGAGCCAUUUUCAAAUACCACAUCAGAUAAAGAAGCUGCUCAACGAGCUCUUGACUUUAUGUAUGGAUGGUACAUGGAACCAUUGACAUCAGGAAAGUAUCCAGAGAGCAUGCGUUCCUUAGUUGGUAAAAGAUUACCAGAAUUCACUAAAGAAGAAGCAAAACUUCUUGUUGGUUCAUUUGAUUUUCUUGGAUUAAACUAUUACACCACUUACUAUGUUGCCGAUGCACCCAAAACCAAACCUAAUUAUGAAACAGAUUGCAAGGCCAAUCUUUCAUCUAUUCGUAAUGGCGUUCCAAUAGGUCCAUCGAGCGGUUCUAGUUGGUUAUACGUUUAUCCUAAAGGAAUUAGAGAAUUGUUGCUCUAUACAAAAGAAAAGUACAACAUUCCUUUGAUUUACAUAACUGAAAAUGGUGUAAGUGAAUUGGACG